CAACUUUAAUAAAAUGACUUAAGCAUAAGAAAACUAAAGAGGUAAAGUAAAAAUUCAAGGGUCUCAUCUUCUCUCACGCACACUUCUGGUCAUCUCCACUAUAGUUCUUGAAGGGGUGAUUUUACCUUCAAAUACCCAGGCAUUUCUUGCUAACCAGAUUUGCCAUAAGAGGUUUGCUGCUACUCUUUUUUCAUUCGGAUUUUCCUCCAUUCUUAGUUCUUCUUCCAACUGAAUCCACCACUUCCAUGGUUCUCGAGCUCGAAUCUGCCAUGGCAGAUUUGAACAUUUCCAAGCUUCAGUCACAUUUGGGCACUCCCAGACACAAUGAAAAACUCUUUCUUGUGACCGAUUAUAUUUUGGGCACCAGGAUUCAAUGGAUUGUAUUUGGGCGUUCAACCUUUCUUUCACAGGAAGUCCUCUGUGCAUCAGUUUUCAGAGCAAAUUUUUUAUUUUCAGUUGACAAUUAAUUUUCCAUAUGCUCCUCCAUAAGUCCUUUCUUUUGCAUUGUUCUAUCAGGUAUUCAGUUGGUGGGUGGCAGAAGAUAAAAGUUAUUUUGUAUCCUGAAACAACAGUGAAGCCGUCCCCUUUUUCCAGUAUCCAGGUACGAUGCAAUGAUUUUAGAAGCGCUCUGAAAGAUACUAAUGGAUCUGUUCUGAAUGUCAUUGUUAACUUCAUUGAGGUUAGAUUAUAAACUUAUAGCAAGUGAAGGUAGCAGUGAAGGAAAUAAUGCUAACUCUCCAAAUACCAAUUAUAUGUGGUAGUGAUUGUUUUCAAUAAUAGAGGUGUAUAUGGAGGUGAUUGGAGAACCCUCAAAGAGAUGAAUAGACCUCACAAAGAUGAUCAUAUUCCGACUUUUUUUGUUCCAAAAGUAGACUACCAUGCUUUGAUUGAAGCUUUUAGUGGAAAGGGCAUCUGACGAACUCAAGUAUAAUCUUUCUCGACUCGAAAACCGGACGUUAUCAAUGUUAUUGUUGAUCCCUAUGCUGGUUCAGAGAGUGGAGGAUGCAACACAAGAACUGAUUUCCAGAUUAUCUGUAUUAUACUGUAACUACGUUUUCUAUAGUUUUCGUUUUUAGAUUUCAAAUUUCAAUAACACAAAUUACAUAGCCUUGUGGUUUUCUAUGGUGUACCAUGAUAUGAUAAAGACACAAACUAUAUUCCAUGAAUCCACACAAAUAUAAAAUAUUACAUGAUCAUAA